rnacentral:rRNA from 1 species
AGUGAACGCUGGCGGUAGGCCUAACACAUGCAAGUCGAACGGCAGCACAGUAAGAGCUUGCUCUUACGGGUGGCGAGUGGCGGACGGGUGAGGAAUACAUCGGAAUCUACUUUUUCGUGGGGGAUAACGUAGGGAAACUUACGCUAAUACCGCAUACGACCUACGGGUGAAAGCAGGGGAUCUUCGGACCUUGCGCGAUUGAAUGAGCCGAUGUCGGAUUAGCUAGUUGGCGGGAUAAAGGCCCACCAAGGCGACGAUCCGUAGCUGGUCUGAGAGGAUGAUCAGCCACACUGGAACUGAGACACGGUCCAGACUCCUACGGGAGGCAGCAGUGGGGAAUAUUGGACUAUGGGCGCAAGCCUGAUCCAGCCAUACCGCGUGGGUGAAGAAGGCCUGCGGGUUGUAAAGCCCUUUUGUUGGGAAAGAAAAGCAGCAGGUUAAUACCCCGCUGUUCUGACGGUACCCAAAGAAUAAGCACCGGCUAACUUCGU